UCUGUGAACUCAAAAUAUUUCUUCACCAAAAUAUUCAUUCUGAUCUUUACUUGAAAGUCAUGUUUUCUAUCAUCUGGUUUAAUUUUCCGACAAGGUUUUCCAUAAGAGGUUGUACUUUGUGCUUGGUUUGUGGUUUGUGAUGUUAUAGGUAGAAAUUGUUUUCAUACCCACAAAACAACAAACCCUAUCUCCUGCCUUUUCAUUCAUCGAUCAUCUACUUUUUUCCUUCUUUUUGUUUUCAUACCCACAAAACACCAAACCCUAGAGAGAGAUAGAGACAGAGUUUAGAGGCAGGGAAGUGCAAUGGCGAAGGUGAUGUGGUUUGAACCUCCGCACGAGCACCUGCCGCUGCCUAAGCAUCACCACCGGAGUUCCCUGCCACUGCACGAACACCACCGGAGUUCCCAUCCGUUCACCGGAGCACCUCGAUCGUUCGCCUAGAAACGGUGUAUGCAUGAUGAAGCUGCACCGCAUUAUAUUGACAUGAUUGAUCAAACAACGUAUGGGCAUAAGUUUAUAAAAGAGUAGUUUAAUGUAACGCCAUGUAUUGGUUGGCGAAUAGACCUUGGUCAUUCGGCUGUGCAGGCUUACCUAUUGGGGGCAGAGCUUGGAUUUGAUUCUGUUUUCUUUGGGCGAACUGAUUACCUAGAUAGAGCUAAGCGAAAAGGAGAUAAACGUCUUGAAGUUAUCUGGCAGGGCUCCAAGAGUCUUAGUUCAUCUUCACAGAUUUUCGCAGGUGCUUUCCCCGAGAGCUACGAACCUCCACCAGGUGGUUUUUACUAUGAAGUUAACGACGAUUCCCCGAUUGUCCAGGAUGACAUUGACCUGUUUGACUACAAUUUGAAGAACGGGUUAAUGAUUUCGUGGCUGCAGCCUUAUCACAGGCGAACAUUACUCGCAAAAAUCAUGUAAUGUAGACAAUGAGAACAGACUCAAAUAUCAGUAUGCAGAUUCAUGGUUUCGGAAUAUGGACAAGUUUAUUCAUUAUGUCAAUAAAGAUGGCCGAGUCAAUGCUCUCUAUUCAACGCCAUCUAUAUACACCGAUGCUAAACAUGCUGAGACUGACUCGUGGCCUCUCAAAGAAGACGACUAUUUUCCAUAUGCAAGCGGUAUAGAUGUCUACUGGACUGGAUACUUUACUAGCAGGGCAGGUCUAAAGUGCUAUGUCAGAAUGUUGAGUGGCUAUUAUCUGUCAGCAAGACAAUUGGAAGUAAUGAACGGAAGGAAUAAACGGGCCCACUACAGACUAUUUGGGUGAUGCUUUGGUGAUUGCCCAGCAUCACGAUUGUGUUAGUGGUACUUCUCAACAACAUGUGGCUAAUGAUUAUGCAAAACGGCUCUCAAUAGGUUAAAGGAGGUACAACUUAAUUCUAUUUUUUUUUUUUUGCAAAUAAUAUUUUGAGUAAAAUGCCAUUUUCGUCUAUGAGGUUUGGCCAUUUUGCGACUUUCGUCCAUUGCGAAAUUGUUAGCGCAUGGGAAGCAUUUGGGUUUUUAGUUAUGUUUUAUUCACGGUUGACAAAAUGGGCCCACGUGGGAAGCAUGGGGACGGUGGUGAAUGGAAGUUUAAGAGCCUCGCAGACGAGUCAACUAGACCACAGUUGAUAAUCUUUAUUUUUCUUUCAAUUUAAAGUUAUAUUUAUUGUUAUUUUGUUGAUUUUUUGAUUGGCAUGAGAGGGAAUUCCAAGUUGCAAAUUUACCAUAUAAGCCGGAUUCCAAAGUGAUGCCAGAGAGUCAUUCAUAUGAGCAUUUGAACGCAUUUUAUGAACAGUUUACGUGUCUUGAUGUCGACUGACUAGAAAUAUAAAUCCAGCCCCCGCCGCAUCGCGGCGGGUUACGCUUCUAGUUUAUAUUAUAAAAAUGUUACGAGUUUACGUGUUUAUAUAUGUACAAGUUUAAGGUUAUGUACAUGUAUUAUGUUACCCAAGUCAGUCCCUUUUUCUGUGAGGAUGACCACAGACCCAUCAUUGUGGCAUAAAAUGAUGUGGCACCAUCCGUGACGGUGAGUUGAGUUCACGGCGUCUCUUCUGUUUUAGUCUACGGACUUCUGUUCAGAGGCGUAUAGAUCGAUCCUAGGAAAAAAGUAAAUAAAGUCUGAUAUCUGGUGAAUGGUCGGUGUGAUUUGCCCACACUCCGUUCUCCAUUCAUGUCUGGAUACAUGGGCUAGCUACCCUGUAUCAACCUCUGUAAUAAAAUGAACCUUCUGGACUUCUGGUUAUCAAGAUUUCUGGGUCGGGAAAUGGAAGAGUGCUCGAGUGUUUGGAAAAGACCGUAGAAAUAAAUGUACUGGAUUAGAUAUCCUAUUUCCAUUAAGUUGUAAACCCUUGUAAUACAUUUAAG
rnacentral:lncRNA from 1 species